rnacentral:lncRNA from 1 species
AUCAGUCAUAUUCCACUUUAAACACUGAUCUCUCGCUAGAAAUCCCUCAUUGCCAAAAUCAUCUCCCUUGAAAUCCAGUCCUGGAAGAUCGAAGAGAGAGAAAGCGAAGCCCUUGACAUCUCUCAAACUUGAUGCCGUGUUUCUAAGGCUCCCUACUCACUAAAGACUGAACUCUCGCUAUACAAAGACUAAGCUGUCGCUAUACACUACACAUCUCUCAAGCUUGAAGCUGUGUUUCUAAGGCUCUUUACUCGCCAUUGAUCCCCUCCAGAAAAUCGAAGCCCAAAAUGCUCUCACAAGCCCUAGAUUUAGAACAUCGAUUGAAGCCCAUGAAAAUCAGUCAGUGACCCUUGAUCCCAUUAGUUCGUGACCCAUGAAAAUCAGAUUCUUUCAAAUUGGAUAAGCCCUCAGUGUAGCUCAGAGUAAUGCCCUCAAAGCCAUUUACCUUCUUCUUUAUUCCUAUUUUUUUUUAAAAAUUUAGUUUUUUUGUUAUUAAUAGAACGCUUAAUUUGAAAUUUGUUACGCUCAAUGUUUUUUCUGUUUUUGGAUUAGUGUGAAUUUGGGACAAUCUUAAUGCAUUUAAGUUUUGUUAUGUUAGAUUAUAAUGAAUUUUAGUUUUCUUCCCCAAUGGCAAUACUGGGUAUACAUUGGAGUUAUUGUCCUGUAUCAUUUGUUAUAGGGACUCAUUAGGUGCUUGUGUAUGAUUGUAUUAUCUUUUUAAUAGUGGUAAUAUGCUACCUGUUUAUUGAUAUUCUCAUAUAUUGUAAUCUUAUAAUGCACAGCUCAUAUACUACACAAGCUUAAGUUGGGGUGCUGAUGGAAGCACAUUGUUCAGUUGACACAUUUGCAAGUUUUCAGGGUUUGGGGUAUUGGGUGUCUCUACAAAGCAACAUCUAGACAAGCAAUUACAAGUAAAUUUCUCUUUGUCAAGUAAAUCCCAGCAAUAUAGAUAUUAUCUCUAUAAUUUUAUUAAUUGGUGAUUUCACAAGUUCAAGUAAAUUUCACAAGUUCAAGUUCAAUCUUCA